rnacentral:rRNA from 1 species
CCGGCGCACGGGUGAGUAACGCGUAUACAAUUUACCUUAUACAGGAGGAUAGCCUUUAGAAAUGAAGAUUAAUACUCCAUGGCAUUAUGAUAUGGCAUCAUAUUAUAAUUAAAGAUUUAUCGGUAUAAGAUGAGUAUGCGUCCUAUUAGUUAGUUGGUAAGGUAAUGGCUUACCAAGACUUCGAUAGGUAGGGGUCCUGAGAGGGAGACCCCCCACACUGGUACUGAGACACGGACCAG